rnacentral:lncRNA from 1 species
GAAAAUUCAGUUUAAUUUCAAGUUUUGGCAGCCUAACAAUUCUCCCCCAAAAAAUACUCCCCAAAGCUUCCAGAUCUGGAAUUAAAACUUCAGAUCUGAAAUUCUCUUAGAUUUUAACUUCCUCAAGAAAAAACCAAAAACAAUAGAAAAAUGACUUAAAAUCCAAAAAAUAUUGUUCUGUUCCAACUUCUUAGGAUAAAUCCAAGUAUUAGGGGGUAAUUUGCAUCUCCUAGUUCAAUCCUCUGUAGUUGAAGUAUGCAGGGUUGAUUUCGAGCAGUUUUGAGUCUAAUUGGGUUGGUUUUGAGUGAGAAUUGGGGUUGUGGAGAUGUGCUGAUGUUUUGCUGGUGUGACCGAGUGCAUUUUGAGUGUUUUGGUUCAAUUUACUGAUUUUGUUUGAGUUCUCAACCUUCCUGGGAUUUCGGAAUUCAUUCUUUGGUGGUGUGAUGUGGUUAUGGGUGGAUUUAUUGGUUCUGUUGGGGUUUAAAAUGCUUGUGGAUUGCUAAACUUGUCUCUGGGUUGAGCUUGUUGUGUGCUGCUGCUAGUUUACACUCUUUGCUUGGCUAUAUUGCUGCUGAUUGCACCUGCUAUCACUAACGUUUCUCUCCUUUCCUUUGUCAUUCCAUAUUCCAGGUACUCAUCUCGACUUUGAAUGAUGUAUGAAGCGCCAAGUUAAAUGAAAUUUGACAGGAAGAACAUUGAAAUGCAAAGCAGUUUUUGUUUUCCUCUUUACCUUCUUUCAUUUGAAUUUAUGUCAUGAUUCAAUUUGAAUUGUUCAAUUUGAAUGUCUGAUAAUGGUAGAGAGAUAUUGAAUUUGUGUAUAUUGGAAAAUAAUAAACUGUUGGAUUUGCUCGAUCGUAUGAAUUGCUUGUGUCAGUCUACGAGUUUAGAAUGUAAUUAAAAUGAAGUUAGUAUAGGUAUAAUAAGAGCUAGCUAUAUUUUUGUAAAUGAUAUUGGGAUCAGUGUAACUGAACUAGUG